AUUGAACGCUGGCGGAAUGCUUUACACAUGCAAGUCGAACGGCAGCACGGGGGCAACCCUGGUGGCGAGUGGCGAACGGGUGAGUAAUACAUCGGAACGUGCCCGGUCGUGGGGGAUAACGUAGCGAAAGUUACGCUAAUACCGCAUACGAUCUGAGGAUGAAAGCGGGGGACCUUCGGGCCUCGCGCGAUCGGAGCGGCCGAUGUCAGAUUAGGUAGUGGGUGGGGUAAAGGCCUACCAAGCCGACGAUCUGUAGCUGGUCUGAGAGGACGACCAGCCACACUGGGACUGAGACACGGCCCAGACUCCUACGGGAGGCAGCAGUGGGGAAUUUUGGACAAUGGGCGCAAGCCUGAUCCAGCCAUUCCGCGUGCAGGACGAAGGCCUUCGGGUUGUAAACUGCUUUUGUAUGGAACGAAAAGGCUCUGGCUAAUACCUGGGGCUCAUGACGGUACCGUAAGAAUAAGCACCGGCUAACUACGU
rnacentral:rRNA from 1 species